GCCGCGGUGAGCUCGGCUGUGCGGCCGCACCGGGGGAGGAGCGGCCGUGUCCCCGCUGGAGUCCCUCACGCACGGACCGAGAGCCGGCUCCGAGACGGGGUACGCCGCUUCUCUUCGCCUCCUCCACGUCCUGACACGUUUUCCUCGCCAGCGCCCGAGAAGCAGCAGCAGGGCUGGCGGCCCGGAGCGGCCCCGGUUAUGCUUAGCUGUAGGUGCUGUGUGCGGGGUCAGCCUGCCGAGCCGCCCCCGAGCUCGUUAUUUGCCUUACAGCGCUGUCAGCUCCACAGCCGUGCCUUGGCAUCGCUCCACCUCUGGGUGGGGAGCUGACAGCAUCCCGCUUCUACCUCCAGCGUGGGACCCUGCGGCUGCUGCAGCGGCUGCUGCAGACCGAGAGAUCGGAGCCGAUGCGGUGUCAUUAUGGACUUGCCCGUAACUGAGGAGUAGCUGAGGAGCGCGGAGCUGACGGAUGCUAAUACACGAAGAUGAUUUAGCAAAAUGCGAUUGAGUCUGGGGGAGAACAUUGAAAAAUUAACUGGUAUUACCUCAUUUUGUGCUGACCCCUACACUAUGAACACAUACUGUUUUUGCUGUCACCUCAGACCAGUGGUGAAUAUGAAGACUGUGGCCACUGAACUGCAUUUCUUUCUAAAAAGCAGCUUUAAAAUAACCAUCCAGUAAGUGAAAAAAACUUUCCUCGGGUUGUGGAUCACAAACACUGCCCAUAAUUGUAAGGGGAGGGGGUGUUCCUGCAUGAUGAUGAGAGGACGCAAAGAGCUUAUGUUGGCUAAGAGCAUUGGCAGGCACUGCUGCCUUACAGCGGCUCUUAAGGGACCAAAUUGGGCUUUAAAAGGGGAGCUUCAGCUCUCAGAACUUUACUUUUGUGUAUAUGUAUUGCUCUCUGAACUUGGGCAGGACUUGCUUACUUGUCACAGCAUGACCUUCAAAAAUAGAUUUGCCAGUAACUGGAGCUCUGUUGAGUGCAGAAACCAAGCUGCCUUAGGAGGGUGCUGAGUUCAGGCUGACAGAGCUGGGUGCUCCAGUUUGGGCUGUGUACUGGACUGCUGCAAGGAAAUGGGACAACGGGCCCUCACCUGCACAGAGCCACCAGUUGGCAGACUAGCAAGCAGUGGUGAUUGCCUGCAUUUUGGAAUUUUAACAUCAGCACCAUUGUAAUCUGUAGACAGCUGUGGCUAAAGGUGAAAAUGAAACUUCUCUAUACAUGAUAAAUCAGAAAACUAGGAAUCAGCUCUCAGUAUUUUAAAUGGCUGAGACUGCAGGAGGUAGUACUGUUGCCCCAUCUGAAAUACAAGUUUGCCUAAAUACAACCCUCUGUAGUAAUAGGUCCACCUGGAGCAUCCAUGUCUCUGUGGUCAGAGGUUCCUGGUCCAUCAUGCCAGGGACGUUUCCGUGGUGGCAGUGAGGCCAUG